UUAGUCCUUUAAUUUAGGACUGGAAUGAAAGAGUUGACUAAAGAAAUUUAAUUAUAGUAAUAAAUAUUUAACCUUAUUUUUUAGUAAAAAAGCUAAAAUUUUAUUAAUAGACAAGAAGACCCUAUAAAUCUUAACAUAUUUGAGGAUUAGCAUCUUAAUUUAUGUUGGGCUGGGGCGGCAGAAAAGACAAACGUUUUCAAAUUUUUAAAUAAAAGUUUUUAUACCUGAAAAUUUCAAAAUUAGAACAAGAUACUUUAGGGAUAACAGCGUAAUUUAUUUUGAAAGCCCAUAUUGACAAAUAAGGUUGCGACCUCGAUGUUGAAUUAAAUAACCUUUAUCCCGCAU
rnacentral:rRNA from 1 species